GUUGGGUAGGGGAGCGUUCUGUAAGCCUGUGAAGGUGGCCUGUGAGGGUUGCUGGAGGUAUCAGAAGUGCGAAUGCUGACAUAAGUAACGAUAAAGCGGGUGAAAAGCCCGCUCGCCGGAAGACCAAGGGUUCCUGUCCAACGUUAAUCGGGGCAGGGUGAGUCGACCCCUAAGGCGAGGCCGAAAGGCGUAGUCGAUGGGAAACGGGUUAAUAUUCCCGUACUUGGUGUUACUGCGAAGGGGGGACGGAGAAGGCUAUGUUGGCCGGGCGACGGUUGUCCCGGUUUAAGCGUGUAGGUGUGUGUUCCAGGUAAAUCCGGUUCACUUUAACACUGAGGCGUGAYGACGAGGCACUACGGUGCUGAAGCAACAAAUGCCCUGCUUCCAGGAAAAGCCUCUAAGCAUCAGGUAACAUCAAAUCGUACCCCAAACCGACACAGGUGGUCAGGUAGAGAAUACCAAGGCGCUUGAGAGAACUCGGGUGAAGGAACUAGGCAAAAUGGUGCCGUAACUUCGGGAGAAGGCACGCUGACACGUAGGUGAAGUGAUUUACUCACGGAGCUGAAGUCAGUCGAAGAUACCAGCUGGCUGCAACUGUUUAUUAAAAACACAGCACUGUGCAAACACGAAAGUGGACGUAUACGGUGUGACGCCUGCCCGGUGCCGGAAGGUUAAUUGAUGGGGUCAGCGCAAGCGAAGCUCCUGAUCGAAGCCCCGGUAAACGGCGGCCGUAACUAUAACGGUCCUAAGGUAGCGAAAUUCCUUGUCGGGUAAGUUCCGACCUGCACGAAUGGCGUAAUGAUGGCCAGGCUGUCUCCACCCGAGACUCAGUGAAAUUGAACUCGCUGUGAAGAUGCAGUGUACCCGCGGCAAGACGGAAAGACCCCGUGAACCUUUACUAUAGCUUGACACUGAACAUUGAGCCUUGAUGUGUAGGAUAGGUGGGAGGCUUUGAAGYGUGGACGCCAGUCUGCRUGGAGCCGACCUUGAAAUACCACCCUUUAAUGUUUGAUGUUCUAACGUGGACCCGUWAYCCGGGUUGCGGACAGUGUCUGGUGGGUAGUUUGACUGGGGCGGUCUCCUCCUAAAGAGUAACGGAGGAGCACGAAGGUUGGCUAAUCCUGGUCGGACAUCAGGAGGUUAGUGCAAUGGCAUAAGCCAGCUUGACUGCGAGCGUGACGGCGCGAGCAGGUGCGAAAGCAGGUCAUAGUGAUCCGGUGGUUCUGAAUGGAAGGGCCAUCGCUCAACGGAUAAAAGGUACUCCGGGGAUAACAGGCUGAUACCGCCCAAGAGUUCAUAUCGACGGCGGUGUUUGGCACCUCGAUGUCGGCUCAUCACAUCCUGGGGCUGAAGUAGGUCCCAAGGGUAUGGCUGUUCGCCAUUUAAAGUGGUACGCGAGCUGGGUUUAGAACGUCGUGAGACAGUUCGGUCCCUAUCUGCCGUGGGCGCUGGAGAACUGAGGGGGGCUGCUCCUAGUACGAGAGGACCGGAGUGGACGCAUCACUGGUGUUCGGGUUGUCAUGCCAAUGGCACUGCCCGGUAGCUAAAUGCGGAAGAGAUAAGUGCUGAAAGCAUCUAAGCACGAAACUUGCCCCGAGAUGAGUUCUCCCUGAGACUUAGAGUCUCCUGAAGGAACGUUGAAGACGACGACGUUGAUAGGCCGGGUGUGUAAGCGCAGCGAUGCGUUGAGCUAACCGGUACUAAUGAACCGUGAGGCUUAACCUU
rnacentral:rRNA from 1 species